rnacentral:rRNA from 1 species
CCUACGGGGGGCUGCAGUGGGGAAUAUUGCACAAUGGGGGAAACCCUGAUGCAGCAACGCCGCGUGAGUGAUGACGGUCUUCGGAUUGUAAAGCUCUGUCUUCAGGGACGAUAAUGACGGUACCUGAGGAGGAAGCCACGGCUAACUACGUGCCAGCAGCCGCGGUAAUACGUAGGUGGCAAGCGUUGUCCGGAUUUACUGGGCGUAAAGGGAGCGUAGGUGGAUAUUUAAGUGGGAUGUGAAAUACUCGGGCUUAACCUGGGUGCUGCAUUCCAAACUGGAUAUCUAGAGUGCAGGAGAGGAAAGUAGAAUUCCUAGUGUAGCGGUGAAAUGCGUAGAGAUUAGGAAGAAUACCAGUGGCGAAGGCGACUUUCUGGACUGUAACUGACACUGAGGCUCGAAAGCGUGGGGAGCAAACAGGAUUAGAUACCCCGGUAGUC